GCAAACCAAAGGGAUCGACCCACAGUCCAGACACCAUUGGAGGAGACUAGUGUCCAGGACAAUGGAUGAUGGACUACUAGAGAGGUAGUCAGAGAGGAAAUAAAGAGUGCAAAGAACACAGAUGGAAGCAGCAGAGCAGGAGGAAAGAUUCAGCAGAGAAAAAGGGCAGGACGGUAGCCGAGUGCUGAUGCAGGGCUUCAGUUAGCUGCUGGCUCCGCUCGAUGAGUCCUUGGCUGCAUCGAGAACCGGCCACCGGUUCACAAGGUGGCGCAUCCACCUGCUCCGACCAGGCCAUGACCACCACAGGUUUCAUAUCCAUACGCUGCAGAAAGGAGAGCCCGAACGCCAGACUCUGAACCAUGUCGCUGUCAAACACUGAACUGUCCACCUGCAAAGGGAGGCACAUCCCAGUUACCCACAUGCAAGGAGGCUGUCAAACAGAGAAAUCACUGCAGACUGUUGGUACACAGACAUCUGCUGCCCAGCUCAGGAGUGAAGUACCUUUUUUUUGAUGAGGUGAUGGUGAGGACAGCCACAGCUUCCAUCUCGUAGAGGACUGCUUCCGCUCAGUCUUUCAAAUAGUAAUGAGAACAAAGAUCCAUACAUCUCCCGGGUCAUCUGUUUACAACUAUACCUGUCCUGCUGCAGGAACAAAUCUCUAACAUAACCAAGUUUACCCCCUACCCAGGACAUGGUCUGUUUACCCUACUUCAUUUCAUCUGCAAGGCCCUGCAAAAGCUUCUAUCCUCAAACCCCCAGACUUCUUAAUUAACUCAGUAACCUAUACAUUGCACACUGGAGUGUGAAGGUAACAGUUCGUUUUAGCUUUGGAGUAGUGGUGCAUUUUUUGGUUGACAAUAAAGUUGGCUUUAACUAUUACAAUUUCACUGAACUCUGUUUCUGAAGGGAAAAUGCUUUUAUUAAGGAAAUCAUUGUAUUGAAAUUACAUGUUUUUCUCUUUCUAAUAUGGUAAGCUAUAAAGGUGAACCGGCCAUAAAUAAAAAGCAUAUAAAUUAUAUAUAAAUUAAAAAAAAAAUUCUCAAUGAGUAUUGCACUCACAACAAACACAUUUUUACUCAAAAGGGUAAAGGAGUUAUUCCACAGGUCUACAUCCAUCAUACAAUGAGUGUUUUAGUGUUUUAUCCAUCAGGAAACUCUGCCUUCAUCUACAACCCAAGCAUGAAGAGAUAGCAAUUCAGAUUCCCUAACCCAGGAAUCCCCAGCACCAGCUCACUAGCCUCUGUAGACUAGAUACCUGUAACAAUUUCAGAUACAGAGACAUAUUACUGUCAGAUUUAUCAAGAAUGAUCAAAAAACAAUGAUAAAAAACAUAAAGCAGUAAAAAUACAUCAGGUCAAUAUAUAAUUUGAACCAAUGCUUUUUGUUCCCAGCUAGGUCAUGCAGUGAUUGCUCUGAAUAUUAAUGCACAUUUUUUAAAUAAAAUUAUGUCAGAGCAGCAGCACAAGUAAGACAAAAACAGUGAAAUGUGUAAAUGUAAAAUGUAUUUAUAUUAUUUCAGCUAUGCUCUCAAACUUAUUUAUUUGUAUAAUGUAAGCUAAAGUAGUGUUUUCUAUUAACAAGAGUUUUCCAGGUAAGUCGUGUUGUGAAUAUUCAAGGCCAUUUAGCAUACGCAUUAGCAACUGCUAGUCGCUUUGCAAAUUACAUAAAUCAAUUAAAUUGAAGUAAAUCCAAUGAGACACAUCUUGCAUCAGCCGAAAUGUGGUGACUUCAACAGCCUCCUCUUCAGCUUCAGGGUCAGUUUCGGGAUCGUAGACGUUUGGGUUUAUGACGCUACCAGAUCAGCUGGCUAAUGUUGUGCAGUCCUGUAGUGGGUCUUCUUCUGUGGAGGAUUACGUUGGAUUGCAUUUUCAAUGUUGCACUACUGCCACCUAUUGUAUCCUAACCAUGCGGUGGCUCGUAUCCAUGAAGCCAAUUUAAAAACAAAAAAGGUAUGCGCUUCCGCACAGAGGUGUGGCGAGCAGCUUCGCUUGCGACACGCCCACAAAACACAGCGUUUGCUGAUGGGGAGUGAAAACCACAUAUUGACAGGGGCAGUGUAGACGAUCUACAGGGUUUUAUGGAAUAAAAAUUUACAGAGACCUUACUGAGACAUUGAAGUCCAAUAUUCUUUAGAAUGAAAAGUAUGAUCAGUCUCCUUUAACGAAAUCCCCUAAGUACACAAGUGUUUCCCUGCUUCUCUGAGAUCAUCUCAGUCCCGUUUUAGAUCCGUCUUCGGGGGUGGAAUCCAGUAACAUGCGGUCAGGAUAGGCAGGGGAGGCGUGGGGCCUUACGUCGCCGGACAAAAUACCAUAAUAUGAAUACAUAACAUAAAAUAAAAAUCAAUAUCUGUCCACUGAUCUGUGUUAUAAAUGUAUUUCCUCUACAUUUUUCAAAAUUUCUUAACAUUUCCACAAGUAAAAUUGCUAAGUGUGCGCAUUUCUGGUACUAAUAUGGGGAGAAACGCGAGAAGAGGCAUCAAUGAGCCGAGCCUCAGCCCAGGGCUCAAGCCUCCAUUCUCGAGUGGUCAUUACAUGGGUUAAUGUUUCACAGCUUUUCACCAACAAAAUGCAGAUAUUUUCUUCACCGUCAUUUCCCACAAGCUCAUUAAUGCGUUUAUCGAUGUGUGUUUAACAUAAUUACUUCCUUGAUCGCGUAAAAACGAGCAAAAAAAAAAAUCGAAAUGAGGCAAGACAGGAAAUAGCCUCUAUGGAAGCCGACAGGUGCUAAGCUGCUACUGUCAGGCGAUUCAGUUCUUUUUUUUUUGUCAGGCUCCUCUUUAUGCCAGUGACGUUGGCAGUGCUCCAGUAAGUUAGCAAACUAACUCAGUUAGCUUCUUUCCCAACUCUCAAGAUGUAGGAGAAUUAUAUAAGUCGUCUUAACACAUUUUCAAAACAAAUGCUCAUAACCGAUGGAAGACCAACGCCGGAGCUUAAAGGUUUGCUUCAAACUACGAGACAGAAGACAACUCGCUCCUUUCAAAUGAACUGGUACACCCAAAAAGACUGGCUGUGCUGCCACAAACCGUCUGUAAUGUUUUCCCUGUUUACUGUUUUCAACCUGUGAUAACGUCUAGACUACAGUAACACGGGAUAUUGUAUAAAAUAUAUAACUAAGACAACAAAUGUUUUUCAGUUUUCUAAAAAAUUACUGAUGACAUCAACUUACAUUUUUGAGUCAAGUAACGUCAAAUUCUUGUGUUGACUAAAAGUGUUGUGUUAAAUAAAUAAGGCAGAAGUCCAGUGUUAACCGAAAGCAAA